GACGAACGCUGGCGGCGUGCCUAAUACAUGAAAGUCGAACGCAGUGGGGACGGGUGAGUAACACGUGGGUACCCUACCAUCAGAGGGGAUAACACUUGGAAACAGGUGCUAAACCGAUACUGAUGGAUGGACACGCGGUGCAUGAGCUAGUUGGUGAGGUAACGGCUCACCAAGGCCACGAUGCAUAGCCGACCCGCGAGGGUGAUCGUCCCCACGUGGACGGUGACACGGCCCAGACUCCUACGGUAGGCCGCAGUAGGGAAUCUUCGGCAAUGGACGAAAGUCUGACCGAUCCACGCCGCGUGAUUGAAGAAGUUUUUCGGAUCGUAAAACUCUGUUGUUAGAGAAGCGGUAUCUAACCAGAAAGCCUCGGCUAACUACGUGCCAGCAGCCGCGGUAAUAC
rnacentral:rRNA from 1 species